AAAGAAUAGUAAGCUGGAGUGUUAAUGUGAAUUUAGGGCAUUUUAAUAUGCGAUAUUAACCUCUCUAUAUGUGAUUGAAGUUCGUUACUCUUGGAGGCACUGAAACCUGAUAUUGGAAAUUCAGGCUUCUUUAUUGAAAUCAUGAAGAUCGUACGUAAACAGCUUGAUCCAAAUGGACCUGGUAGCGUCAAGAUGGUGCCGAUUGAUUCAGAUGAUCUAUGGCAUGCGUUCAAUCUGAUAGCUCCGGGAGACACUGUCAUGGCUGUCACCGUUAGGAAAGUCAUCAAAGAGAAGGCUUCUGGAGGAAGAGAUGCAGAACGAGUGAAACUCAAGCUAGAAAUAAAAGUUGAGGAGGUGGCAGAUUAUGACAAAGUUGGCUCUAUUCUGCGGAUACGUGGAAAAAAUAUUCUUGAAAAUGAGCAUGUGAAGAUUGGGGCUUACCAUACUCUAGAACUUGAGCUGAAUCGGCCAUUUGUUUUGAGAAAGGAUGUUUGGGACUCUUUUGCACUAGAUGUACUCCAUCAAGCUUCUGAUCCUGCUGCUAGUGCUGAUUUGGCUGUGGUUUUAAUGCAAGAAGGACUAGCACAUGUUCUCCUUGUUGGAAAGAGUAUGACAAUUACUCGAGCUCGAAUAGAAACUUCAAUUCCUCGCAAGCAUGGGCCAGCCAUUGCUGGUUAUGAAUCGGCCUUGAAUAAAUUCUUCGACAAUGUUUUGCAGGCUUUCUUGAAGUAUGUUGAUUUUAAUGUGGUGCGCUGUGCAGUGAUAGCUAGUCCUGGAUUUACAAAGGACCAGUUCCAUCGACACUUAUUAUUGGAAGCUGAAAGAAGACAGCUAAGACCUAUUAUUGAGAAUAAAUCUCGCAUAGUUCUUGUACAUACAACCUCAGGAUACAAGCAUAGUUUACGAGAGGUUUUGGAUGCUUCGAAUGUCAUGAAUAUGAUAAAAGACACUAAAGCAGCUCAGGAGGUGCGAGCUCUAAAGGACUUUUUCAGCAUGCUCUCCAACGUGAGCUUCCAGUUCUGCGUUUUAUGCAUUGAAGUUAUUUUUUUAAAACACAUAUCAUAUUGGAUCCAGACCGUGCUUGUUAUGGACCAAAACAUGUGGAGGUUGCCCAUGAACGACUGGCUAUUCAAACGUUGCUCAUUACUGAUGAUCUCUUCAGGAAUAAUGAUAUAACGCAGCGGCAAAAGUAUGUCAAUUUGGUUGAUUCAGUUAGAGAUUCGGGUGGCACUGUUCAUAUAUUUUCAUCCAUGCACGUUUCGGGGGAACAACUUGCCCAGAUAACAGGAAUUGCAGCUAUCCUACGAUUUCCUCUGCCGGAUCUUGAAGACAUUGAAAUGUAAAUGUAAUGAGGUUGAAUUUUUUACAAUGUUAUUUUUGUUUAAAACAUUAAUUUAUGGCCAUUGGCCUGCAUAUAAUAAGAUGACAUCUGUAUCUUUGUAUUGUUCUAAAAUUUGUAGAUUGAACAAACAGUCUACCCCUAGAUUAUACUAUGUGUACAUGUCUAACUUUCAAAGUAUAUGUUCUAUUACCAUACAAUCAUAUUUGUCUAUUA